AGUGAACGCUGGCGGUAGGCCUAACACAUGCAAGUCGAACGGCAGCACAGUAAGAGCUUGCUCUUACGGGUGGCGAGUGGCGGACGGGUGAGGAAUACAUCGGAAUCUACUUUUUCGUGGGGGAUAACGUAGGGAAACUUACGCCAAUACCGCAUACGACCUACGGGUGAAAGCAGGGGAUCUUCGGACCUUGCGCGAUUGAAUGAGCCGAUGUCGGAUUAGCUAGUUGGCGGGGUAAAGGCCCACCAAGGCGACGAUCCGUAGCUGGUCUGAGAGGAUGAUCAGCCACACUGGAACUGAGACACGGUCCAGACUCCUACGGGAGGCAGCAGUGGGGAAUAUUGGACAAUGGGCGCAAGCCUGAUCCAGCCAUACCGCGUGUGUGAAGAAGGCCUUCGGGUUGUAAAGCCCUUUUGUUGGGAAAGAAAAGCAGCAGGUUAAUACCCCGCUGUUCUGACGGUACCCAAAGAAUAAGCACCGGCUAACUUCGUG
rnacentral:rRNA from 1 species